ensembl:ncRNA F45D3.12 ncRNA
AUAGUGAAAAAAGAAGGAGAAUGAGAGAGAUAUGGAUAUAUCGAAAACUUUGUCCGUCGGCGGUCGUGACCAAGAUCUGAUUGAUGAUGGAUGCGUUAGGUUAUAAAGCGCGAAAGCACGCCGCCGUGAUAAUACAGACACGGAAAAA